CCGGGUCUGCUGCUCCAACUGUAUACCAAACAGAGCGGAGCUGUUUGAAGGCGAUUUUAACCCGGGUUGCUUGCAGUUUGACCCGGGUUAGUGAGUCGUUCUCAUUGCCAGGUUUAAACAUGGUUUUUGGUCAGUGGAAAAGGGGUAUAAGACAAAUACUUUUUGAUUUGAUAACAUAUUUUCCACCCCUACUGGGGUGAGCAUUGAUUAUAUUAUAAAUGCAUAAGACACAAAAUGCCCUAAAGCUCUGAAGGAAUCUUAUUGUUUCAUACAGUGACUUGAACAGAAAGCAGAGACCAUAGGCCGUGAAAGAAGAUGCCUAAUGCAUCAACAUCCUUUCCAGUAAAAACAUGUUGGUUCACUGGGAUCAGACGUCCCUGCAUCACCGCCUGAUGAGGGGCUCCUCCAUCAAUCUCCAUCAGAGCAAGCUUCCAACUGUGUCCUGACUUUGAGGAGAUGUUAGGUCCUGGCAGGACGUCGUCAUUUAGACUCAGAACAAGUUCAUUCAGACAGUUGAAGGAUGAAUAAUGCAGCAGAGAAAAUAAACGUCCACUCACAAAGUUUUUCAUAGAAAGUCUUUGGUGGAGAUGCUUAAAAACAGACAACAACAAUUCUUUCCCCUAAGAUUCAUCUUCCUUCAAACAAUGUUCUAUGUGUGUGGAGGACCAGACUUAUUUAUGAGAGCUCUCAAAGCCGGCUCCGUGCCUUCACAAACAAGAGAACCUCUGUUACUGAGUGGAUUUGUGCUGGGAUAAUGAUGGGAGAGACUGGGAGGGAGAGCUAAGAUCUGCGCCUGAGCGGCUCUCUAAUCAUUUUCCAAAGGAACCUGACAACUAUCCAUUUAUCUCUGUCAGAUUUGUGGCUUGGAUGUUUCCCAAACAAAUGCUUAGCUCCAUCUUUAUCCUGCUUCUGCUCAGGAUCAUUACAUUGAUCAACACCAUCUGAAGUCCCAUGUAGGCACUCUUGUACAGGGGUCCACACUUCCCGUAUAAACAAAGACAAACCACAACGAGGUAAAGCCAUGAUUCCUGUGGUCCAAAAGACUAACAAUAAGGAACGGAAAUGAUAAAACCAAGGAACAGUUUGACAACAGGGCUGCUCAGUGGUGCAGUGGGUAGCACUGCUGCCUUGCCUUGCAGCAAGAAGGUUCUGGGUGCGAUUCCCAGCCUGGGGUCUUUCUGCAUGGAGUUUGCAUUUUCUCC